GACGAACCGUGCGAACGUUGUUCGGAAUCACUGGGCUUAAAGGGCGCGUAGGCGGGCAAGCAAGUCCGGGGUGAAAUCUUUCGGCUCAACCGGAAAAGUGCCUUGGAUACUGCUUGUCUGGAGGGAGGUAGGGGCCCGUGGAACUUCCGGUGGAGCGGUGAAAUGCGUUGAUAUCGGAAGGAACGCCGGUGGCGAAAGCGGCUCUCUGGAACGGUACUGACGCUGAGACGCGAAAGCGUGGGGAGCGAACAGG
rnacentral:rRNA from 1 species